rnacentral:lncRNA from 1 species
GCUUGAAGUUUGUUUUUGCUCUGCAGGAUUAAACAGUUCUCUGUAUCCUGCUUUGAGCGCUGCUGUUGGGUGCUGUGAGGGGACCUCAAGUAAGCUCCAUUUUUGAAACAUGGAUGCAGUGACUUAUGAUGAUGUGCGUGUGAACUUCACUGAGGAAGAGUGGGAUUUGCUGGAUCCUUCCCAGAAAAGUCUUUAUGAAGAGGUGAUGCUGGAGACCUACCAGAACAUCACUGCUAUAGGCUACAAGUGGGAAGACCAUCAUAUUGAAGAAUAUUGUCAAAGUUCUAGAAGACAUGAAAGGUAAUUUUCAUGUGCAAGCUGAUAUAAAUAUGCCUCUGAGGAAAUUUUAGUAUGUCCUGGAAGCUCUAAAGAAAAGCAAGAGUGUAAAAUAUCAGUCCUGUAAGUGUAGCUAUGAUUAUAAUAUUUUCACAGAUCCAUGUACCUCAGUGUCAGUUACAUGGCUUGUGUUUACAGGCAUUCCUCUAAUAAAAAAAGACGAGGAAACAGUAACCUAA